rfam:Oryza glaberrima chromosome 1 Oglab01_0314_6, whole genome shotgun sequence.
AAUGUAUGACACCGUUGACUUUUUAUCCAACGUUUGACCAUUCAUCUUAUUUAAAAAAUUUAUGUAAUUAUCAUUUAUUUUAUUGUGAUUUGAUUCAUCAUCAAAUGUUUUUUAAAUAUGGCAUAAACAUUUUCAUGUUUGCACAAAAAAUUUAAAUAAAACGAAUGGUCAAACGUUGGUCGAAAAGUCAACGGUGUCAUACAU